UACGUAGGUGGCAAGCGUUGUCCGGAAUUAUUGGGCGUAAAGCGCGCGCAGGCGGCCUCUUAAGUCUGAUGUGAAAGCCCCCGGCUCAACCGGGGAGGGCCAUUGGAAACUGGGAGGCUUGAGUAUAGGAGAGAAGAGUGGAAUUCCACAUGUAGCGGUGAAAUGCGUAGAGAUGUGGAGGAACACCAGUGGCGAAGGCGACUCUUUGGCCUAUAACUGACGCUGAGGCGCGAAAGCGUGGGGAGCAAACAGG
rnacentral:rRNA from 1 species